rnacentral:rRNA from 1 species
ACGGGUGAGUAAUGUAUCGGAACGUACCGAGUAAUGGGGGAUAACUAAUCGAAAGAUUAGCUAAUACCGCAUAUUCUCUGAGGAGGAAAGCAGGGGACCUUCGGGCCUUGCGUUAUUCGAGCGGCCGAUAUCUGAUUAGCUAGUUGGUGGGGUAACGGCUCACCAAGGCGACGAUACAUAGCCGACCUGAGAGGGUGAUCGGCCACACUGGGACUGAGACACGGCCCAGACUCCUACGGGAGGCAGCAGUAGGGAAUCUUCGGCAAUGGACGGAAGUCUGACCGAGCAACGCCGCGUGAGUGAAGAAGGUUUUCGGAUCGUAAAGCUCUGUUGUAAGAGAAGAACGAGUGUGAGAGUGGAAAGUUCACACUGUGACGGUAUCUUACCAGAAAGGGACGGCUAACUACGUGCCAGCAGCCGCGGUAAUACGUAGGUCCCGAGCGUUGUCCGGAUUUAUUGGGCGUAAAGCGAGCGCAGGCGGUUAGAUAAGUCUGAAGUUAAAGGCUGUGGCUUAACCAUAGUACGCUUUGGAAACUGUUUAACUUGAGUGCAAGAGGGGAGAGUGGAAUUCCAUGUGUAGCGGUGAAAUGCGUAGAUAUAUGGAGGAACACCGGUGGCGAAAGCGGCUCUCUGGCUUGUAACUGACGCUGAGCUCGAAAGCGUGGGGAGCAAACAGGAUUAGAUACCCU